UUACGGUCAUAUCACGUUAAAAUAUCGGUUCUCAUACGAACAUCUAACUUAAGCAACGUCGAGCCUUGUCAGUACCUAGAUGGGUGACAGCUUGGAAAUACCAUGUGCUGUAGG